CGGGGUGUAGUUCAUCGGUAGAACGCUCGGAUGGGGUCCGAGAAGCAUGGGGUUCAAUUCCCCACACCCCGACCA
rnacentral:tRNA from 1 species